AAUGCCUAGGAAUCUGCCCGAUAGUGGGGGACAACGUUUCGAAAGGAACGCUAAUACCGCAUACGUCCUACGGGAGAAAGUGGGGGAUCUUCGGACCUCACGCUAUCGGAUGAGCCUAGGUCGGAUUAGCUAGUUGGUGGGGUAAAGGCUCACCAAGGCGACGAUCCGUAACUGGUCUGAGAGGAUGAUCAGUCACACUGGAACUGAGACACGGUCCAGACUCCUACGGGAGGCAGCAGUGGGGAAUAUUGGACAAUGGGCGAAAGCCUGAUCCAGCCAUGCCGCGUGUGUGAAGAAGGCCUUUUGGUUGUAAAGCACUUUAAGCGAGGAGGAGGCUACUAGUAUUAAUACUACUGGAUAGUGGACGUUACUCGCAGAAUAAGCACCGGCUAACUCUGUGCCAGCAGCCGCGGUAAUACAGAGGGUGCGAGCGUUAAUCGGAUUUACUGGGCGUAAAGCGUGCGUAGGUGGCCAAUUAAGUCAAAUGUGAAAUCCCCGAGCUUAACUUGGGAAUUGCAUUCGAUACUGGUUGGCUAGAGUAUGGGAGAGGAUGGUAGAAUUCCAGGUGUAGCGGUGAAAUGCGUAGAGAUCUGGAGG
rnacentral:rRNA from 1 species